UUUUAGACUUACCAGUUAUCAAAAGACCUCUAUGAUGGGAAAAUCAAAAUGUGAUAAUACCUUUUUAUUAACCUUUAAAAGAACUCUUCAGGAUAACGCUAUAUGAAAUUAAUUUCUAAAACUGUACACAAAAGAUAAUUAUCUUGUAACUGAAAAGAUGACACCAUACAAUGAAAUUAUCAUUUCAUAGUCAGUACACAAAUGUUGUGAUGGUACCUCUUCAUAAAAAAUAACCUUUAACAAUACAAAGAUUUGAUAACACCUUAUCAGGAAAUGUAUUUGUAAUAGUCUCCUUAUGCAAUUACGUAAUUUACCUUUAGAACAAACUUUACUGUCAGUAACCCGUAGGCAAUACCUUUAAUUAAUGUACUUAUACAGUAGUACAAAAUUAAAUUGAGCUCUCAAAUAAAUUAUUUAGUGGAAAAUGCAACCACUAAGCACACACAAUAUUUUUUUUUUUCAGCAGCAAUUUAAUGUAUUUUUCGUGUGUAUAACUUAGCUUGAAACAAAUAUACAAUAAUUAAUGUGUAAUUCAAACAGUAGGUAGCUUAAAUCUUAAGUUUAUAUGUAUGAUUUACUUCUACAAAUUGAUUAUCAGACUAACCAGUUAUCAAAAGACCUCUUUAUGAUGGGAAACACAAAAUUGAUACCUUUUUAUUAACCCUUAACAGAACUCUUAAGGAUAAUGCUUCAUAAAAUUAAUUUCCAAGUCCUUACACAAAAGAUAAUUAUCUUGUGACUGAAAAGAUGACACCAAACAAUGAAAUGAACAAUAGUCAGUACACAAAUGUUAUGAUGGUACUUCUUUGUAAAAUUAACCUUUAACAAUACAAAUAUUUGAUAAUACCUUUUUAGGAAACAAAUGUGUAAUAGUCUCCUUAUGCAAUUAUGUAAAAAAAAACUGAUCAAAUGAUUAUUUCAAUUGUUGUCAAUAAAGACAAAGUAUUAUAACUGCAAAAGUGGACUCACUUAAUAUAUGAACGAAAUGUAGAACUGUCUAUACAGUUGUUUAUUCAAGUACUGUAUUUGUAAUGUAUAGCUAUAAAAUGUUAAGCUAUGCUAAAGUGAUUUGUGGUAUAAUUGUGUGUGUGCUGCAGGUCCAGUUUCUUCAGAGCUUUCUAGGUGGUGAGCCAGGCGUUUACUGGGCUUUUGUGGUCUUUUUCCCGUUGUUUAGGGACCUGCAGAUUGUUUGUCUUUGUUGUCUUCUGGGUUGGAUGACUUCUGGGUUGGAUGACUUCUGGGUUGGAUGACUUCUGGGUUGGAUGACUUCUGGGUUGGAUGACUUCUGGGUUGGAUGACUUCUGGGUUGGAUGACUUCUGGGUUGGAUGACUUCUGGGUUGGAUGACUUCUGGGUUGGAUGACUUCUGGGUUGGAUGACUUCUGGGUUGGAUGACGUCUGGGUUGGAUGACGUCUGGGUUGGAUGACGUCUGGGUUGGAUGACUUAUUAUAUGGAUGAGUUAUUAUAUGGAUGAGUUAUUAUAUGGAUGAGUUAUUAUAUGGAUGAGUUAUGAAUUCAAUUAGUUCAAUGAGUUAUGAGUUCAAUGAGUUAUGAGUUCAAUGAGUUAUGAGUUCAAUGAGUUAUGAGUUCAAUGAGUUAUGAGUUCAAUGAGUUCAAUGAGUUCAAUGAGUUCAAUGAGUUCAAUGAGUUAUCGUUUCGGGGGUUUGGGGAAAGCUGGGAUGCUUGCAGAUGCAAGCAGAAAGAAAGAGAGAAAAUGGAAACAAGAAUUUAGAUGGGGUAAGG